GAUGAACGCUAGCGGCAGGCUUAAUACAUGCAAGUCGAGGGGCAGCACGGGUAGCAAUACCUGGUGGCGACCGGCGCACGGGUGCGUAACGCGUAUGCAACCUACCUUAUACCAGGGAAUAGCCCCGAGAAAUCGGGAUUAAAGUCCUAUAAUAUAUUUGAGAGGCAUCUUUUGAAUAUUAAAUCUCCGGAGGUAUAAGAUGGGCAUGCGUGCCAUUAGUUAGUUGGCGAGGUAACGGCUCACCAAGACCGCGAUGGCUAGGGGGUCUGAGAGGAUGAUCCCCCACACUGGUACUGAGACACGGAUCAGACUCCUACGGGAGGCAGCAGUAAGGAAUAUUGGGCAAUGGACGCAAGUCUGACCCAGCUAUGCCGCGUGAAGGAUGACGGCCCUAUGGGUUGUAAACUUCUUUUAUGUGGGAAUAAACCCCCGGACGUGUCCGGGGCUGAAGGUACCAUAAGAAUAAGCAUCGGCUAACUCCGUGCCAGCAGCCGCCGUAAAAC
rnacentral:rRNA from 1 species